GGAAGCUUAGCUCAGCUGGGAGAGCAUCUGCCUUACAAGCAGAGGGUCAUAGGUUCGAACCCUAUAGCUUCCACCA
rnacentral:tRNA from 1 species